rnacentral:misc_RNA from 1 species
UGGAUCUUUGCUUCUUCAUGUGUCUAUUUUUAAUGAAAUGUUUGACAUUUCCCUAGAUCUUCUCCGGAGAUGCCCACACUUAUCUACUACACGAAACCAUCUGGGAACCACACCUCUGAUUGAAUUCUCUGGUCUCUGCGACUUAUUCCCCAGUGGUCUCCGAUUUGUCUUUUGGAAACGAUGGAUCUAUUCUGGUAUUAAGGUGCAACUGCAUGCUGCUCAACAUAGUGAUGUUCGUAUAACCAUUCCACAAAAUGACCACAAGCAUCAUGGGAGCAUUGCAAUACGAGGUAUGCUUCUCAUUUCACACAUACUCUGCAAAGAGAGACCUAUAUCAUGAUCUUAGGCAUUCAAUGGACACAUAUCAUACAUAAUCCCAAGCCAAGUUCAACUAAAUACUUUGUUGUACUUCUUUUUCUUUUUGUAUGUGUUAAAAAAUGAAAAUAAUGGGAGCUAAUUCAAGGUUCUAAGCUGGAUUUUGGUCAUCCAGAGACCUUCACUUGGAUGAUCUUUAUAAUUUAUAGUUUCGUAAUAUUUAAUUAAAUUAGCUGAUUGAUUUAAUUUUGCAGCGCUAGGUCCAUUACGAAGACUAGGUUCAAAUUUACUUCAAUUUUUUGGUACUCUACAUCCAAUUUCAGACCUUAUUCCUUUUUUUUUUUAAUUUUAUUUUUA